GCGACGCGACAGUCUCCACAUCGGCUUCAACCUCCCCCACUGGCGAGCCGCUGAUUCGUCCGGGGCUGGAGUCUGUGCUGCACGCGGGUUUGGUGGAGACUUGAGCGGUGAAAGGCUGCCUCAGCGGCAGGCUCAUCCUGCAUGUUGUGCCGAUGCGCAGCAACUGACAGGAACAGUGGGGACACCGAACCGACGCUACUGUGCGAGACCAAGGGCGAGCCGGGGCGCAACUGGCGGAUGGAAACCGGAGAAGAGGAGGAGCAGAUAUUAGAGAGCGUCCGUCGAGGAGUAGAGCGGUGUCCAAUGUAAUAAAUAAACCAAUAAUAAACCAAAA